CAGGCUUAACACAUGCAAGUCGAGGGGCAGCAUGGUCUUAGCUUGCUAAGGCCGAUGGCGACCGGCGCACGGGUGAGUAACGCGUAUCCAACCUGCCUUACACUCUUGGACAGCCUUCUGAAAGGGAGAUUAAUACAAGAUGUUAUCAUGAGUAAGCAUUUUCGCAUGAUUAAAGGUUUACCGGAGUAAGAUGGGGAUGCGUUCCAUUAUAUAGUAGGCGGGGUAACGGCCCACCUAGACUUCGAUGGAUAGGGGUUCUGAGAGGAAGGUCCCCCACAUUGAAACUGAGACACGACCCAAACUCCUACGGGAGGCAGCAAUGAGGAAUAUUGGUCAAUGGACGAGAGUCUGAACCACCCAAGUAGCGUGAAGGAUGAAGGUUCUAUGGAUUGUAAACUUCUUUUAUACGGGAAUAAACGAAUCCACGUGUGGAUUUUUGCAUGUACCGUAUGAAUAACGAUCGGCUAACUCCGUGCCAGCAGCCGCGGUAAUACAGAGGAUCCGAGCGUUAUCCAGAUUUAUUGGGUUUAAAGGGAGCGUAGAUGGGUUGUUAAGUCAGUUGCGAAAGUUUGCGGCUCAACCGUAAAAUUGCAAUUGAUACUGGCAAUCUUGAGUACAGUUGAGGUAGGCGGAAUUCGUGGUGUAGCGGUGAAAUGCUUAGAUAUCACGAAGAACUGCGAUUGCGAAGGCAGCUUACUAACCUGUAACUGACAUUGAUGCUCGAAAGUGUGGGUAUCAAUCAGGAUUAGAUACCCUGGUAGUCCACACGGUAAUCGAUGAAUACUCGCUGUAGGCGAUAUACAGUCUGCGGCCAAGCGAAAGCAUUAAGUAUUCCACUUGGGGAGUACGCCGGCAACGGUGAAACUCAAAGGAAUUGACGGGGGCCCGCACAAGCGGAGGAACAUGUGGUUUAAUUCGAUGAUACGCGAGGAACGUUACCCGGGCUUAAAUUGCAACCGAAUAUGGCGGAAACGCUAUAGCUAGCAAUAGCGGUUGUGAAGGUGCUGCAUGGUUGUCGUCAGCUCGUGCCGUGAGGUGUUGGCUUAAGUGCCAUAACGAGCGCAACCCUUGCCGAUAGUUACUAACAGGUCAUGAUGAGGACUCUGUCGGGACUGCCAUCGUAAGAUGUGAGGAAGGUGGGGAUGAUGUCAAAUCAGCACGGCCCUUACGUCCGGGGCUACACACGUGUUACAAUGGGGGGUACAGAGGGCUGAUACCACGCAAGUGGAUGCCAAUCCCAAAAACCUCUCUCAGUUCGGAUUGAAGUCUGCAACCCGACUUCAUGAAGCUGGAUUCGCUAGUAAUCGCGCAUCAGCCACGGCGCGGUGAAUACGUUCCCGGGCCUUGUACACCCCCCCCGUCAAGCCAUGGGAGCCGGGGGUACCUGAAGUGCGUAACCGCAAGGAGCGCCCUAGGGUAAAAUUGGUGACUGGGGCU
rnacentral:rRNA from 1 species